GUGAGAGGUGACACUUAUAUAAAGUUAAUCAUACAGUUAAGAGUGAGAGGUGACACUUAUAUAAAGUUAAUCAUACAGUUAAGAGUGAGAGGUGACACUUAUAUAAAGUUAAUCAUACAGUUAAGAGUGAGAGGUGACACGGAGUACUGACUUUGACUUCCAGAUAUCGCGGUGCAGCAAGAUGUUAUCAGCCUAACGUAGUACAUCUCGUGUUGGCGAUGAUACUACAGGUGAAGGGAAUGAGUGACGAGCUGCUGUUGUGUGGCACUGUGUGCCGCUCCUUCCUGUACGUACAUCUGUCACGACGUGAGAUCCACGCUCAAGGCGAGAGUUAACCAGAGUUCUCAGUCAUUCAUCGUUGUUUUCAGUAAACUCUGGAUCCUUUUGCCUACUUUUGUAUUUUUUGCUUGUUUUGACUCGAGGGAUCUUUGCCACUUUUACAUAAAAGAAGAAGACAAACUAUCUUUUCAUGUAACUUUAUUCGUUCAUAGGGUGUGUUUAUGUGUCAUAUUGUACUGUCUACGUAUUUUUAUAGAAACAUCGUUUUUUUUUUUUUUUAUAGUGAUCGAGCAUCUUUCAAACUAGCAUAGCCUUCGCGUCCACCGCCCUCGGUGCCACCGCGUUAA